rnacentral:rRNA from 1 species
AUUGAACGCUGGCGGCAGGCCUAACACAUGCAAGUCGAGCGGAUGAAGGGAGCUUGCUCCUGGAUUCAGCGGCGGACGGGUGAGUAAUGCCUAGGAAUCUGCCUGGUAGUGGGGGAUAACGUCCGGAAACGGGCGCUAAUACCGCAUACGUCCUGAGGGAGAAAGUGGGGGAUCUUCGGACCUCACGCUAUCAGAUGAGCCUAGGUCGGAUUAGCUAGUUGGUGGGGUAAAGGCCUACCAAGGCGACGAUCCGUAACUGGUCUGAGAGGAUGAUCAGUCACACUGGAACUGAGACACGGUCCAGACUCCUACGGGAGGCAGCAGUGGGAAAUAUUGGACAAUGGGCGAAAGCCUGAUCCAGCCAUGCCGCGUGUGUGAAGAAGGUCUUCAGAUUGUAAAGCACUUUAAGUUGGGAGGAAGGGCAGUAAGUUAAUACCUUGCUGUUUUGACGUUACCAACAGAAUAAGCACCGGCUAACUUCGUG